UACGUAGGGUGCAAGCGUUGUCCGGAAUUAUUGGGCGUAAAGAGCUCGUAGGCGGCUUGUCGCGUCGAAUGUGAAAUCUCAGGGCUCAACUCUGACAUUGCAUUCGAUACGGGCAGGCUAGAGUUCGGUAGGGGAGACUGGAAUUCCUGGUGUAGCGGUGAAAUGCGCAGAUAUCAGGAAGAACACCCGUGGCGAAGGCGGCUCUCUGGGACGUGACUGACGCUGAGACGCGAAAGCGUGGGGAGCAAACAGG
rnacentral:rRNA from 1 species